GCCUACGGCCAUACCACCCUGAGAACGCCCGAUCUCGUCUGAUCUCGGAAGCUAAGCUGGGUCGGGCCUGGUUAGUACUCGGAUGGGAGACCGCCUGGGAAUACCAGGUGCUGUAAGCU
rnacentral:rRNA from 1 species